GCCCCUGUGGUGGAAUGGUAGACGCGGCAGACUCAAAAUCUGUUGCCGAAAGGCGUGCUGGUUCAAGUCCGGCCAGGGGCACCA
rnacentral:tRNA from 1 species